rnacentral:lncRNA from 1 species
GAUUACGUCUAUGAAAAACUUACUCUUUGGUGUGUUGAUGGACAACACCAGAUCUUGUCUCAAGACCCGAAUUUUUGUCCUACGCCACGGAACGAAUAGACGGUCUAUGGAGGCAAAAACAAAAAUAAACAUCGAUGGACGGGAAGUAAAUAGGAAACAAGAGUUUAUCACAAAAGACGAUUUAGAAAUAAUGAACGAGUAAGACCGAGAGAUCUGGUCUACCAGAAUAUGUUGAAAGAAAAAAGUUAAUAUCAAUAGACAAUAUAGUAAGAAUUAAAUAAUUGCGAAUAUAUUUCGUCCAUCUGAAAAUUACUCUUAUGGUUUUUGUGAUAUUUACCUUUUUCCUGAUGUGGUUACGGCGUGAUCCCCUCCUGAUGUGCAUCUCUAUUGACCAGAAUCAAUGGUUCUUCCGUUUUCAUGAACAGCGCCUGGACGGAGCCGUGUUCUCGACGGUGGUGGCAGUGAAAC